CGGCGAGUGAAGCGGGAAGAGCUCAAAUUUGAAAGCUGGCGCCUUCGGCGUCCGCGUUGUAAUCUCGAGAAGUGUUUUCCGUGCUGGACCAUGUACAAGUUCCUUGGAAUAGGACGUCAUAGAGGGUGAAAAUCCCGUACUUGAUGUGGCCGCCCAGUGCUUUGUGAUACACUUUCCAUGAGUCGAGUUGUUUGGGAAUGCAGCUCAAAAUGGGUGGUAAAUUCCAUCUAAAGCUAAAUAUUGGGGAGAGACCGAUAGCGAACAAGUACCGUGAGGGAAAGAUGAAAAGCACUUUGGAAAGAGAGUUAAAUAGUACGUGAAAUUGUCGAAAGGGAAGCGCUUGAAGUUAGACAUGCUAGUUGGAAUUCAGCCUUGCUUUUGCUUGGUGCAUUUUCCGGUUAGCAGGCCAGCAUCAGUUUUGCCUGUCGGAUAAGGGUAGGAGGAAUGUGGCCCCUCGGGGUGUUAUAGCCUCUUACUGGAUACGACGGGUGGGACUGAGGACAGCAGUGCGCCUUUAUGGCGGGCCUUCGGGCACCUUCGCACUUAGGAUGCUGGCGUAAUGGCUUUAAGCGACCC
rnacentral:rRNA from 3 species